GAUGAAGAACGUAGCGAAAUGCGAUAAGUAAUGCGAAUUGCAGAAUUUCCGUGAGUCAUCGAAUCUUUGAACGCACAUUGCGCCCACUGGUAUUCCGGUGGGCAUGCCUGUUCGAGCGUCAUUAUCCCCCCUCAAAACUCUUGUUUUGGUGUUGGGCCGCGUUGGUCAGCCCGACCAACGGGCCUUAAAGACAAUGACGGCGUCCGUGGGACCCUCUUCGCAACGAGCUUUCAUUAGCACGCGUCGAGUCUAAAGGACCUUCCGGGCCGGCCAUCCUUUUAUUUAUAUUACAAGGUUGACCUCGGAUCAGGUAUGAAUACCCGCUGAACUUAAGCAUAUCAAUAAGCGGAGGA
rnacentral:misc_RNA from 1 species